rnacentral:hammerhead_ribozyme from 1 species
GCACUACUGAAGAGUCCCAGGUCAAAACGAAACAGCUGUCCAGUAC